rnacentral:misc_RNA from 1 species
AACAAAGAAAGGACUACAUAGGUGUUGCAACAUUUAAUAUAUGUUCCACAACCUUUCAUAGUGUGAGAUUCAGAAUACAGAAUGAAAUGCUUUGUAUAUCCUUUGUAGGGUUGGACGCAAACCGAUAGAACUGAGGAACCCCAUGAAUCCAAGCUAGCCCAACUUGACUCAUUUGCUACAUAGAAGUAAUAAACUCAGUUGCUGCUUCUAGCAGGAAAUUAAAUCACCAAUAACAUGGUUUCAUUGUUAAAAAAGCUGGACGAUUACAUAUCUUGAUUGUUGCACAAUUUCAGUUGUAAUGUAGACAUGGCUGACUUAUUUAGUGAGGGGUUGCUGGACCUUGGUUGAAAUUAUGAUGUAGCUUGGAUUUAACACUAUAUAUAUAUAUGGCUCUGAUACCAAAGCGACGCAGGAUCGAAGGGGAUAUCCAACAAGGAUAGAAUUAAUAUAAAGAAGAAG